CGCAUCUGUGCAUGCAGCAUAUCAAUAAGCGGAGGAAAAGAAACUAACAAGGAUUCCCUUAGUAACGGCGAGUGAAGCGGGAAGAGCUCAAAUUUGAAAUCUUCAAGGUUUUACCUUGACGAAUUGUAGUUUAAAGAAGUGUUUUCUGUUGAAGUUUUGGUAAAAGUUCUUUGGAAUAGGACAUCAUAGAGGGUGAGAAUCCCGUAUUUGACCAUUAUUUCAGCUGUGUGAUACACUUUCAAAGAGUCGGAUUGUUUGGGAAUGCAGUCCAAAAUGGGUGGUAAAUUUCAUCUAAAGCUAAAUAUUGGCGAGAGACCGAUAGCGAACAAGUACCGUGAGGGAAAGAUGAAAAGAACUUUGAAAAGAGAGUUAAACAGUACGUGAAAUUGUCAAAAGGGAAGCGUUUGACACCAGUGUUGUUUUCUCGAAAAUCAAUUAAAAAGAGUUAGAUUUUGUUGUGUAUUGACCUUAACAGCUUGCAUUUCAAUUUUCUUGCUUUUUUUAAUGCACUUUUCGUUUAACAAGUCAACAUCAGUUUCUUUUGUUGUAAAAAGGUCAUUGGAAGGUGGCUUUCUUUUCGGAGAAAGUGUUUAUAGCCUUUGACUCCUGCAAUCGGAGAGACUGAGGUCUGCAGCGUAGAUCCUUCGGGGUUAGAUACAUUUGUGCUAAGUUAUAGCUUUUUAUAGACAACUUGUUGACUAUGAUUAGUCUUGUAGCUUACUCGCUUAUGCUAUUUUACCUACGCUUAGGAUGUUGACGCGCGUGUGUGCGUG
rnacentral:rRNA from 1 species